AAGGGCUCCUGCCAAAGAACAGGAAAAGACAAUCAGGGAAUGUUUCUUUCCCCCAAGGACUGUCCUGUCAUCUCUGCCUUCAGUGUCUGCAAGUUCUCUUAUUCAGGAAACACAGAAAUACAAGUAUCCAUGAAGACGGAAUACCAAGUCACUAACAUCGAAGACAAUGUUCCCAUUGGCUUGACUUCCCAGCCCCCAAGCCCUGUGGGCAGCAGGAGCAGCCCUGUCCAUCCUAUGGGUCAGAGCUGUUGUUGGGGCAAUGCAUGCUGCUUCAGCAGCCUGCCUUGCCUCCUGUGGCCCCUAAGUCAGAGGGGCCUCCCUGGCCAUUUUGCAGUCCAUGGUUAAUUUUACACAAUCCAACGGAACAGCAAACCAAAAUACAGAGAGAAAAACAUGCUCUAAGUAAGCAGACUGUACCUUAACACCAUCUUAUCAACAAUUAGCAGGUAUGAAGAAAAGCAAAAGGUGCAUUUUGACAUGUACCCGAGCUUUUCCCACUAAGAUUGUCAAAGGAAAAUAUAUCAGAAUCCCUUCUGAUCUAGAUGGUACAUUAAUCAGUACUUUUCUUGACAAAUCAACCAUUAAGCUGAACGAUCCAUCUCAAGAUUGCUGCAUAAAUCCAAUUUAACAAUUUGUCAGUAGAAUGGAGAAGUUCAAAAAUCUCUUAACCAAAACCAUGAGUUAUACCACUACUAGUUUUGAAUUAAAGUUUAAACAUGGUAGAAUACAGAAAGACAUACAACCAGAUUUCAUGUUUGUUGCAAUGGCAUCCAUUCCAGUUAUUCCACAGAAUUCAGCUGAGUUCCUGACAAUUCAUGCUUCCUGCUGAUGCUAAAUUUACUUAAUAAUCUGAUUGCUGGUAGGCAGCGCAACAUACUAUUCUUACUGAGAUCUUGCACAUUGCUUUUCAGCUAUAGAUCCCAAAAUGCACACCAGACAUUGAAGAUCCUGGUUGUGACUUUGAUGUCAGCAAAUCUGUAAAAAUAUCAAGAUUCUUACAAAGAUUUUGAGAUGUUAGUAGGAAUGCAUAUGUCUCAAAGCCAUAAGGGACAGGAGUCAUAAUAAACACAGUGGGUCAUGUUCACUGCUGAUACUGAUUAUGGUAUAAAUGGCAGCACAGAUAAGAUCUCAUACUGAUAUAAGUGGUUAAAAAGAUAACAUACUGAUUCUGAGCUAAAGAAUCCUGUAAAGCUGAAGCUGUAACAACUAUCAGUGGAAGAGGACAAUGCACAGAUAUCAACUAACCAAAACAUUGCCUUCACCAAUAUCUUUUUUGUAUGGCCAACCUUUCAAUGCUACCACUGGCGCAUGAAGACAACAUCUAUUAAUAUCAGAUACAAUAAGUUGGUGCUAUUUUCUGCUGCUAAACUGAAAAAGCCCAGUGGAGAAGCAGAAUGGUUGUUAGCAUUAAAACAUCUGGAGAGGUCAUGAUUCUGUGCUUCUGCAUGCAUGCCUCAGUCCCCCAGGCUUCUAUAAGUUACUCACUCACUUUGGCAGCUCUAUAAUGCUUCAUCACUUAUGCCUAUCUAUCUAGCCAGUUUACAGCUAGUUGUAGAAAUUAUGCUGGACCUUAGAUUUUGUUCAGCUUCCCUUUUUAUUUUCUUUUAAUUUUUUGCCCAAGAAAUUGAUUAAUAGGAAAAUAUCUCUACACCUUUUUCCCCAGUCGAGCAAUCUUACAAAAAAUCAAUGUUACUAACCUGUGACUGCAUUUUAUUUAAAGCAAAAUGACUGGUUGGAGUUUUGAUUCAGGGAAAAGUAGCAAGAUAGGGAGAAAUCUGAUGUCUUGCCAAUAAAUAUCAAUUAAUGUUGCAAUGAUACAAAUAGAACCAGAAAAGAGUGAUACCACUGCUCCAGUUUGUCCAAAAACAGAUAUAGCAGGAUAGUCACCCUCAAAAAAAUAGGUUUUACAACAUUCUUUUUUUCAGAGAAGUAUUUCAGAAAAGGUACUUGCCACAAGCAAAGCUAAUAAGUUGUUCUGUUAGCACUGAGAUUUACAAAAAUUGAUUUUCUAUUGCACUGUGUCUUCUGGCUGGAUCCUCUGGUGUCUAGCAAUGGGCUAAGGCUCAAGCCAUGAGCAGAAUGUAUUUGGGGUUGGGGUAUUUUGUCUUCUCAGGUAACUUUUCUGGCAUCUCUUGAUGGGUAUGUGCAGCCUGUAGCUGCCUUCUCAGCUAGGGCGCCAGAAAGAUUUGUCUCUUCUACCAUUGCUUCUCUUCAUGAGACAUUUAGGGACAAGGAUGGCUUUGAACAUUGUGCACAUCUGUUGGGUUGAGCUGAAAGUGCUCAUGAGUUCAGAAGGAAGGGGAAGUGGAGAAGAAACAGAAUCUCUCUCUUCCACACACACACAUAAACACCAGUAUGUGCAAAACCAGCAUGACCAUGCAAACCGUAUUUUCUUAGAGAAAGCAAGACUCAGAAAUUCUCAUUGACUUUGCAGAGCUCUAAGCCAGGAGCGUUGCUAGGUGUCACUGAUGGCUCAGCUGGGUUGAGACUAGAAUUACAUUGUGUAAUUAUGUUAAAUGCAUUGAGGCCCAUCUUACCCAGGGUAUUAUCCGUGGGAAUUAUAAUGAGAAUUUCCAGGCUCUGAAGGGCAAACUUGCAGGGCAUUGCAGGGGCACGAGGGAUAGUGGGACCACAGGAGGUGGGAUGCAUAAGCCUGGUGUAGAGGAGAGGAUCCCAGCUGCAGUUUUGAUGCCACAUUACUUCCAGUUGACACCAGGACCAGGAAGAAAAGAAUCUGGCUGGGUCAGCAGGCUGAGAAAGAGUGUGUGGCUGAACGGGUUAAGUAAUAGGCGAGCCCUAACCUUGCCCAGAGUGCGGUGAAUGAAUGAGCGUGGUCCCCUUCUCCGUUCCAGCAGUGACCAGGAUUCCUUUCCCAGCCCGCCCCCGGGAUUCCUCAAGCAGGAGGAAAAGGGAGAAAAGCAAACCCUUUCUCUCUGCCGGGUGCAGCGAGGGCACGGAGCAGUGAUCCUGUGCUUCCCCUCCUCACCCCUGUGCUGGCAUGCAGCUGCUGCAGAAUUUGUGAGUUGCUGUUACGAAAUGCAAAUAUGUGUGCAAGACUUUUACCUCCAUUGAGAAACACAGAAUCCAAGCGAGGAAAAGCACAUAAGUGAGAUUUGCUGUCUAAAAGUGCCUGUCCAAACAGAAAGACAAAUUGAGAUCCCUUUGAAAAUGUGGUCCUUUCCAUUCUUUGAGCAGAAUAAGUAAGAAGGUGACUGCAGCUAAUAAUACUUUUCUAACCCUGUCACCUGAGGAUUUCAGCAUAUUUUGUAACUUUCCUCACUUACCUCUCUUAAAACUCAUGUCUGCAGAUGACGAGUACUACUUUCCUCAUUUUGGAGGGGCAAACAAUAAGUGCUGUUGAAAGGGUUUGCCCACUUCCUCCAGCAAACCUGUAGCAGACAGAGGAAGCAGAGCAAUUUGAUCAAUUAUUCUGCCCUUUCAUAUUUGUGUCAUUGUUUCCUUUUACUCCAAAUAACUUCAGUAAUUUGUGUUGUAACAGGUAUUUUCCAGGGCAGCUUCUAAUAUCCUGAGCCCACUGAAGUGUACCUUAUCUAUUGAAGCCAAAAGACCAUCCUCAGGCUAAGGUGUUGUGUGAAGCUGUCCUCAUUCUGCUUAUGACAAAUAGUCCACAAUAACAUUUGGGCCAAGAGAUUAUAGACAUUAGUCUUGCCUCAGAACUAUUUAGGAUCAUUAACCAACCCAACAGAAAGUCUGUGUAUGUCUCUGUAAAUUGAAAUAAAUUUAAAAAAAUUAUCCUCUUCUUGACAUCUUCUAAACAUAUCUCAUUUACCCUUCCUGGGGAAGAAGAGGGCUUAGCACAGAGUACAUGGUUGGAAAUGCAUUUCUCUUGGGUGUAUUCUGUCUUCUUUGUCAGUAAAUCCUACUGUUGCAUACAAUUCCUGUGAAAACA